rnacentral:lncRNA from 1 species
UGCCCCAUCGAAAUUAAAAGAAACUAAUGCAGAUGUUUUCUCACAUACUUUGUUUCACCACAGUCAAGACAAUUAGCCAUCAAAAAUACAAUACAGAAAAUGACGAAAGUGUUGGUUUCUUUUUUUCUUUUUUUUUUCUUUUUAUGUCCUUUUUUCAGUGAUGAUUUUUAUACUGAAAACAAUUUGCAAGAGUUUCCCGGGAACCAUGUGUCUCGCUUGUGGUUGCUGCUGUCAGUGUUAAAGUGCAAUAUUGUCCAUCUAUUAGAAAAAUACUGACAAUGAAAAAAAAACGUAUUUCAUAUGUCUAUGAAAUGCCAAGAUAAUAAAAUCCCAAAUCAUUUUUCUUAUUAGGUUUUGUGAAUUGUUGAAAGCAAAAUCUU